rnacentral:lncRNA from 1 species
GGGAUCUCCAUUAGGAAACAGGCAGAGCAGGGCCGAAUAAAUCCAUGUUUUUUAAUGGUUAUACUACAUUGAACACUUACUGUUUAAGGUGCCUGAAGAGAAAGCAUAACCUUGGCUAAUGCUUUCAGACUAGGUGAAACUUUUCACAUAUGCUGUGUAAUCACCAUUUAUUGUAGAGUAGCUGUUACCACUACAAAACAUUCGGUUAAAUUUUCAUCCUUCACAAUGUGUGCUAACCAGGCAUGACUGAAUGAAGAAAGCUGCUCUGAGAAUGCCACCCCAUUUGGAAUUCUAGAGAAGGAACCAAAACAAUCAACAGGGACACAGAACAUCUCCACAUCAAAGAGGGGAAGUUAGUCACAAGUGACAAUCCGGUGUUAAAUAAUUAAAUUGUUUUAGCUGUUAGCUGUAAGUGAAUGUUGUUUUUAAUUGCACUUUAAUAAUGCCAUGCCCUUUAUAACCAAAAUUAAUGUUUUCUGUCGCUCUGUUUUUGAAGUAUGUGUCAGUUUAAUUAAACUAUUAAUGGUAGAUGGAUUUUAAAUACUUUAUAUUUUUCAUUAAAUUGUAUCUGUUCAACAAGCAUCAACAGGAAAAUGGAGCCAGUGAGGAAUAGACUCACGUUCUGCCUGAUAAAUUACUCAUCCUCAGCUGCAAGUUACCACAAGCACUAUCCUUCCCAGGUUUGGAAAUGACUGAAUAUGAAUACUGAUUUGAAGAAAUAAAUCAGAAUGAGGCAUUUGAUUUGACCUGGUAAGACUUAUUUCUGCCAAAUGCCAUUUGCCAAUUUGCCACUGGAGUAAUUUCUCUGAACUGCCUUUUUGACUUUGUUGGCUUAGGUCCUUAGAGAAACAGACAUCACUAAAGGAUUGUAAGUGCAAGUAAAUUAUUGGGG